GGGCUCGAGUGCGGCCUCGGGGCCACCUCCCACCCGUGUUGCCCGAACCUAUGUUGCCUCGGCGGGCCCCGCGCCCGCCGACGGCCCCCCUGAACGCUGUCUGAAGUUGCAGUCUGAGACCUAUAACGAAAUUAGUUAAAACUUUCAACAACGGAUCUCUUGGUUCCGGCAUCGAUGAAGAACGCAGCGAAAUGCGAUAACUAAUGUGAAUUGCAGAAUUCAGUGAAUCAUCGAGUCUUUGAACGCACAUUGCGCCCUCUGGUAUUCCGGAGGGCAUGCCUGUCCGAGCGUCAUUGCUGCCCUCAAGCCCGGCUUGUGUGUUGGGCCCCGUCCCCCCCGCCGGGGGGACGGGCCCGAAAGGCAGCGGCGGCACCGCGUCCGGUCCUCGAGCGUAUGGGGCUUCGUCACCCGCUCUAGUAGGCCCGGCCGGCGCCAGCCGACCCCCAACCUUUAAUUAUCUCAGGUUGACCUCGGAUCAGGUAGGGAUACCCGCUGAACUUAAGCAUAUCAAUAAGCGGAGGAC
rnacentral:rRNA from 1 species